rnacentral:rRNA from 1 species
AGAGUUUGAUCAUGGCUCAGGACGAACGCUGGCGGCGUGCCUAAUACAUGCAAGUCGAGCGGACCUUCGGACUCCUUCGGGAGCCUAGGGUUAGCGGCGGACGGGUGAGUAACACGUGGGCAAUCUGCCCGACAGACUGGAAUAACGCCUGGAAACGGGUGCUAAUGCCAGAUAAACAAUCGAGAGGCAUCUUUCGAUUG